rnacentral:tRNA from 1 species
GCUAGGGUGGCAGAGCCCGGUAAUUGCAAAAGGUCUAAGCCCUUUAAAGCAGAGGUUCAAAUCCUCUCCCUAGCU